UACGUAGGGGGCAGGCGUUGUCCGGAUUUAUUGGGCGUAAAGAGCGUGUAGGCGGCCAAGCAGGUCCGCUGUGAAAACUCGAGGCUCAACCUCGAGACGUCGGUGGAAACCGUUUGGCUAGAGUCCGGAAGAGGAGAGUGGAAUUCCCGGUGUAGCGGUGAAAUGCGCAGAUAUCAGGAGGAACACCAAUGGCGAAGGCAGCUCGCUGGGACGUGACUGACGCUGAGACGCGAAAGCGUGGGGAGCAAACAGG
rnacentral:rRNA from 1 species